rnacentral:lncRNA from 1 species
GAUCAAAGAAGAAUACCUGGGAUGAAGUCUCAUGGUAUAUCUUCUCGCCUUCUUCUGAUCAGUAUCAUAGGCCUGACCCAUGUACUGAAGCAGAUCCAGAAACUUAUCUGUGAACUCAUCAACAGUCAUCUCAUCUGUUUGUCUCAACUGUUCAAACUCAAUUAGCUUCAUCUCCCUGGAACUAUCUGGAAAAGCCCACCCUGCAAAUUCAUUGGCGAACUCUCCCCACGACAUA